GGCCCAGUAGCGGAUGGUCCGCGUCUGCAAAACUCGAGGUGGUACUCAUGUUUACCUGCAGAAGAAGCUCGUUCGAUUCGAGCCUGGGCCA